AAUUUGCGUUAGGGAUAGCAGUGAAAUCCUUUUUGAAGCAGAAGCCCAGAAAGAGUGUAACGAAUAGCCCAGCCCGAA
rnacentral:sRNA from 1 species